rnacentral:lncRNA from 1 species
AUGUGACUAAGAUUUAGGGAGCUUGUUGAUGGUAGGCUCGCUUUAAACUAAUUGUUUGAUGGAAGUUUCUGCUUAGAUUUGAGACUAGCUCCAUCCACUCUUGGUCGUUUUCUUUCUACUAUGUGUUUUAUCUUUCGCGAAGUCAUUAGGAACAUCAAUUGGUGCGGACAGAAACGAUGAUUCUGACUUUGGUACCUUUUUCCUAAAAUCAUCAUGCUAGGCUUGUGACUAUAGCAGGUAUGAGGUUGCGAAGAUGGCAAUGGAGUGAACCAAUGAAAAGUUCAACAAUAUUUUCUAACUUGUGUGCAGAUUCUUGAACUUUUUAAUAGGGGGAAAAUAGGAACAAGAGAUCUACAUGAAAUGGAAUGAUGAAAAUAACAAAUCAAAUACAAAGAAUACACGUUUUGAGCUAAGUCAGUCACUAACAAUAACACAUGUUUCUUGCAGAUAAGAAAGAGACGAUAAAGACAAAGAAGAAGGACGAGAAUCUUGACCGUAACAAACCCGAAAAGCUUUGUUUCUUCAUUCAUUAUAUUCUGGUACUUCAAUAUUUGAAUACUCAAAUAUUUUCUAACUAUCUGUUUUGUAUACAGUUUGAUUGCAAAAAGUUGAACAAAGAGUUUGUCGAGAAGAGCAUCAAGGGAUCAAAAAGUCAACUCUUACCGCCCAUAUCUCAUUGGAAUGAAAAGUAAUAAAAUAAAAUUUUAUUCAUUGUUACUUGUGGAAUUGAUUUGUCGGUUUUGAAGAAAUUCUUGUUGUAGGAAUUGCGAGUUAAUGGAAGCGUGCAUGAAAGAAGUGGAAGCUUUAUUAAAUUGUAGCUGACUACAUUUCAGUGAACAACUAAUAUGAUCUGAAUUCAUUCUCGUUUGAUA